UUUUAUAGUUUUCUUAUUUAAUUAAAGAAUAUUAGUUAGUUGUUUAAUAUUUGUGUGGGCCGUUUUUGUUAUUUAAUUUUGUUAAUUAAAGAAUCAAAGAUGAAUAAAUAUGAAACUUCUUGCACACACCAAACACUUGUUAUUUAAUUGUUAAGAAGUUUUUUUUUUUUUUUUUUUUGUGCAGUGUUAUUUAUUUUUGUUUCACUUUUUGUUCAUAAUAUUUAUGAGUUACAUAAUCAAAUUAUAUAAUUGCAUAACAUAUUAUUUUGUUUCAUAAUUAUAUCUUCACUGUUGCACGUUUACUUUUUUGUGUUGCAUUCUCUUUUACUUUGUUGCAUAAUUAAUUAUUCAAUCAUUUUUAUUUAUAUAUGAUUUUAAGUUGCACAGUAAAUUAAUAUCAGUUUCUUUAUUAAUCGUGUG
rnacentral:lncRNA from 1 species